AGCGAACGCUGGCGGCAUGCCUAACACAUGCAAGUCGCACGGGUCGGCUUCGGCCGGUUAGUGGCGUACGGGUGAGGACCGCGUAGGGAUCUGUCCUCUGGUUGGGGAUAACCGCGGGAAACUUCGGCUAAGACCGCGUGGGUCGCCGGUGUGAGAGCCGGUGUCAAAGGCGCGCAUCGCGAGGUGUGUGUCGCCGGGGUGUGAGCCUGCGUCCGAUUAGCGGGUGGGCGGGGUAGUGUCCCACCAAGGCGUCGCGCGGUAGCUGGUCGGAGAGGGUGAGAAGCCACACUGGGACUGAGACACGGCCCAGACUGCUACGGGAGGCAGCAGUGGGGAAUAUUGGAGAAUGGGCGCAAGCGUGAUCCAGCAAUGCCGCGUGGGUGAAGAAGGUCUUCGGAUUGUAAAGCCCUUUCGGCGGGGACGAUGGUGACGGUACCCGCAGAAGAAGCCCCGGCUAACUUCGUG
rnacentral:rRNA from 1 species